rnacentral:lncRNA from 1 species
UUAAAUCAGCUAUCCAAUAUUUUAAAAUUUUAAUAAUUUUUUAAUUUAUUUGAUUUGGGUUAGUCAAUAAUACUUUGACUUGAAAAUUUAAAUUAAUUACCUACUAAAAUAAACUUAUACUUGCGAGAAUUGCAUAGAGUAUACUAAUUAAAUCUAUAAAGAUAAAUGACAAAUUCAAAAUUUUGAAAGUUAAAGUGCCUUCGAUUGAUUAAUCAAAUAAAAUAGAAUAUUGAAUAAUAAAAUUAAAAUUUUAGAAAAACAUGUUAGUCAGCUCAAAAUAAUUUAUAGUUUUGAUAAAUUCUGAACGUGUUUAUAAAAAAUGAAGAAAAGUUAGGAAGCGCAUGUUAUAUUUGUCGGCGUUGGUAUCUAAGAUAUAAUUAUUUUCAAUGUGUAAUUACUUUCUAUUUCUAACUGAAUAAUUUAUUAUCUUUUAUUAAUUAUAUUUCUCUUAAAAAAAAAAGUAAAUUUCAUAUACCAUUCACCUGAUUUCGUUUUUUUUACUUUAGUACCCUACGAUUUAAAAUAUAUUAAUUUAAUACUCUAUGAUUUUAUUUUUCUCUUUUCGUCAGAUUUUUUUUGUUAAAUCAGUGACAAAGUUAAAAUAUAAAGAUAUAAAAGUGAAUAUUUGAUAAAUCUAGGUGGGGUAUCUCAAGUUUUUUUUGUAUAUAAUUUAAUAAAAUGUUAAGAAAAGAACUGACGAAAAGAGAAAAAUAAAACCACAUGAUACUAAAUUGAUACACCUUAAACCAUAUGUUACAAAAGUGAGAGUGUACGAAACUAGAGGGUGGCUUUUGAAGUUUAUCCAAAAAUAAAUGAUUGAGAUGAUGAGAGGGCUCAUUCACCUCACUUUAUGAAUUACUAGUGAAGUUGCAUGAUCAUUGCGGUGGGCUAAUACUAUAAAAGAUAAAAGAUUGACAAAAUUAAAAUUUUAAAUUUUUUAACUUGUCAUGAAACAUCAAUAAAUACAAAUUAAAAAUAUAAAACAAGUAUAUACGAAUGUUAGCAAAACUUACAACAGCAAAUAAAUUAUACAUAACAAUAAUAAAAGAAGCGCUAAUAGAGUUACUACUCCAUAUGCCCCUUAAUUGUGCUGCCGCGAUCGG